rnacentral:sRNA from 1 species
CAGCCGUCUCCCGCACCUGUGCAACCUCCUUUUCUCCCCCAGAUCUUGUUCAUCUUCAUCGACAGCGACCACACCGACAACCAGCGCAUCCUCGAGUUCUUUGGCCUAAAGAAGGAAGAGUGCCCGGCUGUGCGCCUCAUCACCCUGGAGGAGGAGAUGACCAAGUACAAGCCCGAAUCGGAGGAGCUGACGGCAGAGAGGAUCACAGAGUUCUGCCACCGCUUCCUGGAGGGCAAAAUCAAGCCCCACCUGAUGAGCCAGGAGCUGCCAGACGACUGGGACAAGCAGCCCGUCAAGGUGCUUGUUGGGAAGAACUUUGAAGACGUGGCUUUUGAUGAGAAAAAGAACGUCUUUGUGGAGUUCUAUGCCCCAUGGUGUGGUCACUGCAAACAGUUGGCUCCCAUUUGGGAUAAACUAGGAGAGACGUACAAGGACCACGAGAACAUUGUCAUCGCCAAGAUGGACUCGACUGCCAAUGAGGUGGAGGCCGUCAAAGUGCACAGCUUCCCCACACUCAAGUUCUUUCCAGCCAGUGCUGACAGGACGGUCAUCGAUUACAACGGGGAACGCACGCUGGAUGGUUUUAAGAAGUUCCUGGAGAGCGGUGGCCAGGAUGGGGCAGGGGAUGAUGACGAUCUCGAGGACCUGGAAGAAGCAGAGGAGCCAGACAUGGAGGAAGAUGAUGAUCAGAAAGCUGUGAAAGAUGAACUGUAAUACGGAAAGCCAGACCCGGGCGCUGCCGAGACCCCUCGGGGGCUGCACACC